GAAAAGAAGCUGACAGAUGUGUCCUGCCUGGAAGACAUCAAAGAAAAAGAAAUAGCAAAAAGAAACUGGACCAUGAAGAAAUUAUUAUUUUUAAAAUAUUGUAAAAAGUAAUGUUCCACAAUGCACAGGAAGACUCUCAUCA